rnacentral:rRNA from 1 species
UACGGGGGGGGCAAGCGUUGUUCGGAAUUACGGGGCGUAAAGGGCGCGUAGGCGGCUCGCUAAGUCGGAUGUGAAAACUCUGGGCUCAACCCAGAGCCUGCAUUCGAAACUGACGGGCUCGAGUUCUGGAGGGGAAAGCGGAAUUCCUGGUGUAGCGGUGAAAUGCGUAGAUAUCAGGAGGAACACCGGUGGCGAAGGCGGCUUUCUGGACAGAAACUGACGCUGAUGCGCGAAAGCUAGGGGAGCAAACGGG